rnacentral:rRNA from 1 species
UACGAAGGUCCCAAGCGUUGUUCGGAAUUACUGGGCGUAAAGGGCUCGUAGGCGGCCAACUAAGUCGGAUGUGAAAUCCCCAGGCUCAACCUGGGAACUGCAUCCGAUACUGGAUGGCUUGAAUUCGGGAGAGGGAUGCAGAAUUCCAGGUGUAGCGGUGAAAUGCGUAGAUAUCUGGAGGAAUACCGGUGGCGAAGGCGGCAUCCUGGACCGACAUUGACGCUGAUGAGCGAAAGCCAGGGGAGCAAACGGG